AUUGAACGCUGGCGGCAGGCCUAACACAUGCAAGUCGAACGAGUGGCGGACGGGUGAGUAAUGUCUGGGAAACUGCCUGAUGGAGGGGGAUAACUACUGGAAACGGUAGCUAAUACCGCAUACCAUCGGAUGUGCCCAGAUGGGAUGAGCUAGUAGGUGGGGUAACGGCUCACCUAGGCGACGAUCCCUAGCUGGUCUGAGAGGAUGACCAUCCACACUGUAACUGAAAUACGUGCCAGACUCCUAAGGGGGGCAGCAGGGGGGAAUAUUGCACAAAGGGCGCAAGCCAUAUGCAGCCAUGCCGCGUGAAUGAAGAAGGCCUUCGGGUUGUAAAGUACUUUCAGCGGGGAGGCGUUACCCGCAGAAGAAGCACCGGCUAACUCCGUGCCAGCAGCCGCGGUAAUUC
rnacentral:rRNA from 1 species